AAGUCGUAACAAGGUUUCCGUAGGUGAACCUGCGGAAGGAUCAUUAAUGUAUUGAUUGCAUAUCACAAUGCUUUCCUUAUAUAUGAUGAUAGGUUCAGGGAGAGUCUUCAUAUAUAUGAUGAAUAUAUGAGAAUACGAAAAUCCUUGGUACUCGCAUGCGACUGCCCGUCACAUUCACUUGUGCGAGCAUGUUGUUAGUUUCUAAAGGGCUACGCCAAGGUACCCCACAUACCCCCACGAUAAGAAAUGCGUCGUCUCGCGUAAAGCUGAGGCGCUCGCGUAUAUUUCUUGAGUGUGAAACAACCAUGUUGAUAUCAGAGAGUGUGUAAGCAAUAUAAAAUAUUGUAAAUUUUAACCCUAGACAGAGGAUCACUUGGCUCAU
rnacentral:misc_RNA from 1 species